CUAUGUAGCAAGGUUAAGUACUUAAGGUAUGGAGCCGAAGGGAAACCGAGUCUGAAAAGGGCGAAAAGUUGCAUGGUGUAGACCCGAAACCGGGUGACCUAUCCAUGGCCAGGUUGAAGCGAGAGUAAAAUCUCGUGGAGGACCGAACCACGUUGGUGUUGAAAAACCAUGGGAUGAGCUGUGGAUAGCGGAGAAAUUCCAAUCGAACUCGGAGAUAGCUGGUUCUCCUCGAAAUAGCUUU
rnacentral:rRNA from 1 species